GUCAUGGUGUAGUCCUCUCCCUUAGACAACCCCUUUGCUCAAGGGUUUCCCGUACUUCUGCAGAAUUGAUCCGGCGCAGAGAUUUUGCAGAUAAUGGAUCUUCCAAAUCUAACGACACGGCUACUUUGUUCGAAUUGAUUGGAAGAGCAC